rnacentral:rRNA from 1 species
UUUGAGUCGCGUGUCCUGGACCCGAAGCGGGAUGAUCUAGCCCUGAGCAGGUUGAAGCGCGGGUAAGACCGUGUGGAGGACCGAACCCACCUGGGUUGAAAACCGGGGGGAUGACUUGGGGCUAGGGGUGAAAGGCCAAUCAAAUUCCGUGAUAGCUGGUUCUCUCCGAAAUGCAUUUAGGUGCAGCGUCGGAUCGAUUACAUCCGGGGGGUAGAGCGACUGGAUGCUUGCGGGCCCAUAUCGGGUACCAACAGCAACCAAACUCCGAAUACCCGUGAUGCGUAUCCCGGCAGUGAGUCGGCGGGGGAUAAGCUCCGUCGUCGAAAGGGAAACAGCCCAGAUCGUCGUCUAAGGUCCCCAAGCGUGUGCUAAGUGGGAAAGGAUGUGGAGUCGCAUAGACAGCCAGGAGGUUGGCUCAGAAGCAGCCACCCUUGAAAGAGUGCGUAACAGCUCACUGGUCUAGUGGUUCCGCGCCGACAAUGUAGCGGGGCUCAAGCACACCACCGAAGACGCGGCAGUAGCUUUGCUACUGGGUAGGAGAGCGUCCCAUGCGGGGCGAAGCGGCGGCGCAAGCCCGCCGUGGACCGCAUGGGAGUGAGAAUGCAGACAUGAGUAGCGAAAGACGGGUGAAGAUCCCGUCCGCUGGACGACCAAGGGUUCCAGGGCCACGUUCAUCGUCCCUGGGUGAGUCGGGUCCUAAGGCGAGGCCGACAGGCGUAGUCGAAUGGAUGAACGGGUCGAUAUUCCCGUACCGGCAUGCAACCGACAAAACCGAAUCCGCGAGUACUAACCUCCGGGUCCGGGCUUACGUCUCCUUCGGGAGCCGGAUGCCCUGGCCUGUUGGGACCGUAACGGUAGUAGGUCAGCGCGGGAGUGACGCAGAAGGGUAGCCGGCCGCGGAGGUGGUCUUCCGUGGUCAAGCACGCAGCCCGUCCCACAGGCAAAUCCGUGGGGCGCGUGGGCGAGGUGCGAUGAUGGGCGCCGCAGGGCGCGAUAUCCGGUGAUCCCGGCUGCCGAGAAAAGCUUCGGCGUGAGGCGGCGUGCCGCCCGUACCCCAAACCGACACUGGUGGUCAGGUAGAGAAUACCAAAGCGAUCGAGCGAAUCCUGGUCAAGGAACUCGGCAAAUCACUCCCGUUCCUUCGGUUUAAGGGAGACCCCCGAUGGUGAAGCGGCUUGCCCGUGGAGCUUUUGGGGGUGGCACAGACCAGGGGGUAGCGACUGUUUACCAAAAACACAGGAGCGUGCGAAGGCGCAAGCCGCUGUAUACGCUCUGACGCCUGCCCGGUGCCGGAAGGUUAAGAGGAUCCGUCAGGCUUCGGCCGAAGCGGUGAAUUCAAGCCCCGGUAAACGGCGGUGGUAACUAUAACCAUCCUAAGGUAGCGAAAUUCCUUGUCGGGUAAGUUCCGACCUGCACGAAUGGCGUAACGACUUCCCCACUGUCUCGACCAGGAGCUCGGCGAAAUUGCAGUACGAGUAAAGAUGCUCGUUAAGCGCAGAAGGACGAAAAGACCCCGGGACCUUUACUAUACCUUGGUAUUGGCAUUCGGUGUGGAUUGUGUAGCAUAGGCGGAAGGCUUCGAAGCCACGGCGCCAGCCGCGGUGGAGCCGCAAGGUGAAAUACCGCUCUGUUCGCAUUGGAUGUCUAACCUCGACCAGUCAUCCUGGUCAGGGACAGUGCCUGGCGGGUAGUUUAACUGGGGCGGUUGCCUCCCAAAGAGUAACGGAGGCGCUCAAAGGUUCCCUCAGCCCGGUUGGCAAUCGGGUGGCGAGUGUAAGUGCACAAGGGAGCUUGACUGCGAGACUGACGGGUCGAGCAGGGACGAAAGUCGGAACUAGUGAUCCGGUGCCGGUGUACGGACGCGGCAUCGCUCAACGGAUAAAAGGUACCCCGGGGAUAACAGGCUGAUCAUUCCCAAGAGUCCAUAUCGACGGGAUGGUUUGGCACCUCGAUGUCGGCUCGUCGCAUCCUGGGGCUGGAGCAGGUCCCAAGGGUUCGGCUGUUCGCCGAUUAAAGCGGCACGCGAGCUGGGUUCAGAACGUCGUGAGACAGUUUGGUCUCUAUCCUCUG